GGAAGUUGCUAUGAGGAUACAUAGCUCCCUCUUCUGAUAUAAAGUUGAGGAAAUUUGUUGGCCGAAUCGAACCUAAAAACUUAAUAGCCACCACUGAGUCA